CUUGAUCUACUGUUUUCGUAGACCAUGUAGAACUAAUUUCGUGUUGCUAAGUUGGGGCAAUGGUGGUGGUUCGGAGGAGUUUGGAG
rnacentral:pre_miRNA from 1 species